GUGUAGUAAGCAUCGCCACUGGGGAGACAAAGGCGGCCGGGCGUGGUUCUGGCUACCCACCCCCUCGUGUGCUGUGCCGGCCUUAAUAGGCGCUGCUCGCUAACAGCACUUGCCCCAACAUUCUGAUGAGGCCAUACAGGGUAUCUUGGGUGUCGCUGACCACCAUCAUGUCCACCAGCUGAUCACCAUCAUGGUCUCCGCCAGGUUACCAGCUGACCACCAUCAUGGCCACCAGCUGAUCACCAUCAUGGUCUCCGCCAGGUUACCAGCUGACCACCAUCAUGGCCACCAGCUGAUCACCAUCAUGGUCUCCGCCAGGUUACCAGCUGAUCACCAUCAUGGUCUCCACCAUGUUACCAGAUGACCACCAUCAUGGUCACCAGCUGAUGACCAUCAUGGCCACCAAAUCACCACCAUUACGGCCUCCGCUAAAGCCAACGGCUGAUCACCACCAUAGCCACCAGCUGUUCACUAUCAUGGCCAAAACUGACCUCCGUCAAGGCCACUGGCUGACCACUAAUCUGACCACCAUCUGGCCAACGUGGUUAGGGUCAGGAGUCGAAGUAAAGUCUGUUGGGGCCGUCUUAGAGGUGGGGCAAGCGCUGGAGCUGGUUGGUUGGGGGUCGUCGGGGCUUCGUGCGAGUGUUGGGGCUGGCACUAAAUGUUUGGAUGAGGGCCUUGUCUCCGAUUGGCCAGUGCAAGGCAUGGGUCGAACUCGUGCUGUGUUCUGGUUGGCCUACGUUAUUGGCGGCCGGUGUGCUCGGUUUCUGAUUGGUUGUUGUGCUUAUAAAAGGUAGUGACAGUUCCUCGUGUCUGAUUGGCCAGUGUAAGGCGCGGGUAAAACUCGUGCUGUGUUCUGAUUGGCCUACGUUGUUGCCGGCCAGUGUGCUGGUUUCUGAUUGGCCGUUACGCUUAUAAUGUUAGUGACAGUUCCUCGUGUCUAAUUGGGCAGUGCAAGGCACGGGUAGAACUCGUACUGUGUUCUGAUUGGCCUAUGUUGUUGGCGGCCGAUGUGCUCGGUUUCUGAUUGGCCUUCGCGCUUAUAAUGCUAGUGACAGUUCCUUGUGUCCGAUUGGGCAGUGUAAGGCACGGGUAGAACUCGUACUGUGUUCUGAUUGGCCUACGUUGUUGGCGGCCGGUGUGCUCGGUUUCUGAUUGGCCUUCGCGCUUAUAAUGCUAGUGACAGUUCCUUGUGUCCGAUUGGGCAGUGUAAGGCACGGGUAGAACUCGUACUGUGUUCUGAUUGGCCUACGUCGUUGCCGGCCAGUGUGCUGGUUUCUGAUUGGCCGUUACGCUUAUAAUGCUAGUGACAGUUCCUUGUAUCCGAUUGGGCAGUGUAAGGCACGGGC